rnacentral:rRNA from 1 species
GACGAACGCUGGCGGCGUGCUUAACACAUGCAAGUCGAACGGUGAAGCGCCUUCCUUUUUGGUGGGUGUGGAUGAGUGGCGAACGGGUGAGUAACACGUGAGUAACCUGCCCCCUUCUUCUGGAUAACCGCAUGAAAGUGUGGCUAAUACGGGAUAUUCUGGGUCUGUCGCAUGAUGGGUCUGGGAAAGAUAUUGUUUCGGUGGGGGAUGGGCUCGCGGCCUAUCAGCUUGUUGGUGGGGUGAUGGCCCACCAAGGCGGUGACGGGUAGCCGGCCUGAGAGGGUGGACGGUCACACUGGGACUGAGACACGGCCCAGACUCGUACGGGAGGCAGCAGUGGGGAAUAUUGCACAAUGGGCGCAAGCCUGAUGCAGCGACGCCGCGUGAGGGAUGGAGGCCUUCGGGUUGUGAACCUCUUUCGCCAGUGAAGCAGGCCUGCCUCGUUUGUGGGUGGGUUGACGGUAGCUGGAUAAGAAGCGCCGGCUAACUACGUG